UUGACGGGCCGCACAAGCGUGGAGCAUGUGGUUAAUUCGAAGCAACGCGAAGAACCUUACCUGGUCUUGACAUCCCGGAGACCCUUAGGAACUAGGGGUGCUUCCAUCUGGAAGAAUCUGGAGACAGGUGCUGCAUGGCUGUCGUCAGCUCGUGUCGUGAGAUGUUGGGUUAAGUCCCGCAACGAGCGCAACCCUUGCCUUUAGUUGCCAGCAGUUCGGCUGGGCACUCUAAAGGGACUGCCGGUGUUAAACCGGAGGAAGGUGGGGAUGACGUCAAGUCCUCAUGGCCUUUAUGACCAGGGCUACACACGUACUACAAUGGCCGAUACAAAGGGCAGCGACACUGCGAGGUGAAGCCAAUCCCGUAAAAUCGGUCUCAGUCCGGAUUGGAGUCUGCAACUCGACUCCAUGAAGUUGGAAUCGCUAGUAAUCGUGGAUCAGCAUGCCACGGUGAAUACGUUCCCGGGCCUU
rnacentral:rRNA from 1 species